GAUUUUCAGAGCUCCACAGGUUGCAUUUGCUCUCCACUUGUUUGGUUUUUUAUCUUAUUUUUCUGAGCUCCUGUAGACCUGGCGUGGGCUAAGUGCGGUGUUGAGGCUGGUAGCAACGAACUCUAAAAUUCUGGCCUUGUCGCUGUCGUGGCUGUGCUGCGGUCCUUCUUUUUUCCAGUUUUUUUUCUGCUCCUUGGUGUGUUGUGGAGCUCCGUGAAUCAUGGCUGGUGGCUGCUGGAGGUUCUUUUGCUUUGGCUCUCUUGUCUAGGUUCUAGGUGUUGGCGGCUCAGUCCGGUGGGCAGAGGCUUUGGUGGUUGUGCUAAUUAUGCAUUGCUACUGUGUGGAGCGACACCACCCUGGUCUUCUGUGUUUUGAUUUUUUCGACGGCUGUAGUGGAAAAGCGCUCUCAAGUGGAUUCUUGUUGAUGAUUCCUCGUGCUGGAGUGGCGUCGAUGGCGGUUUUGUUUUCCUUCGAGAUCUAGGUUUAGUGGUGCGGGGUUGCCGUGAAAGUGCAUGCGGAGGGAGCAUUACAAGUGUGCCCCAGAUAGUUGCUCUGAAGCUGCAAAGGACGCGUGGAGGCUUGUGAAUCACUUCUAGUUCUCUCGGAGGCAUGUAGCGGAUUCUUUUCAUUGUAAUUGUGUGAUCAUCGGAGCAAGUUGUGCUCCAAUUAUUGCUCCACCGUGUCUACAAGUGCUCGCAACUCUAUUGAUGAUUGUAGUGGGUCUAGUGGCACUAUCCCGUUUUUUCAUUUCUCAUUGUUUUGUGGUGCUAGAACUUUCGUGGUCAACUUCGUCGAUCGCUGCUGUCCUAUCUCGAGGACAAAAUUAAAGGUUGUGUUAAGGGUCGUAGAAGAGAAGGUUCAAGACGGCAGCAGAUCAGAUACACUAGUAUUGAUUUAAGGAAAUUAGCGCUUGGUGGACUCCAAAAUGUUACUUGCACAUCUUCGACUCCUUUUGCACUAAUGGUCUAGGAUUGUUUUUUUUCCUUCUGCGGGUGCCGCGGUGGUAGUGCUGCAAUCGGGUUUGCGGAUAUUUGAAAUUUUGAAGUCGUUGCUAAGGUGCUGACAAUCAGGGCUAAGGAAGCUGGUUGUUCAACAACAGUUUGGCGCUCACGUUUGGUUGAUUUUGGCUCCUCUCCAGUGGAGUAGUGGUCCUAACCACUUGUUCAUUAAAUUUUUAUUCCAUUCAACAAGGGCUGCGGUUGUGCUCUCCUAUGUUGACGGUGCCUGGUUUGGCAUCCUAGCUUGUCAUAGUUCCUCUAGUUGUUUGUGUUGAAUCCAAGUAUUGCUGCUGUUCUAUGGUUGUUGUUUCGGCAGUCGCAUUGCAGUGAUAAUGCGGUGCUGUGUCGGAUUAGAUCUUUAAUUUCCUUAGGAUGCGGUUCUUCUUGCAACCCGGAGGCUCGGGUUGACCACCUCCGCUGCGGCAAAUGAUCUUCCAAGUCCAUAUCAUCCAAUUCAUAUCCUUGAGCUAGAGCCUUCUCAUCAAUCAAGCUCUGCUAGGUUGUGGAUAUCGGUAUUCCAGCAAGGUGCUCUCAGGCAGAUUCGGCAUUCAGUGGGUACAAAUCCUAAGCAGCUCGAAGAGGGGGAUCUAGUGCCAGCAGAGGCUUGUCAUUUUACUCUCUAUAGUUGCGGUCGGCAAAUACCAUGGUGCAGUGAUGAGCGAGUGGCUGACCAACUGCUGCGAUCAGACGAUCUGGAUUUCCACAUGGAGUGAAGGAAGGGUCACUAUUGCGGAGAAUCCUCGACGCUUCCGAGGGAACACUGCGAAGGUCAUGGCACAUUGUAAUUGAAGUGAAGUUGAUUGAUGACGUUAAUUGUUGCUGCUAGCCACUAAUGUCAGGUAGCUUUAGGUUGUGUAAUCGAAGCUCGUGAAGCAAGCUCCGUAGCAAGCUCACCUUGGAGAGCCAAGGUAGAACCACAGCUACCCUUAAUCGUUGAUAGUAUUGAAUAGGAGCUCAUGCAGUCAUUAGAUAGUGGGUGCUACUGUUAAGAAGGAGCUCAAGGUUCGUUGUCCAAGUUUUUCAAGUUGUGAGAAUUUCCAAUACUUUUGUGUAGAACAAGGGUUUAAUACUAAAUUGAAUGGAUUUACGAUUAGAUGAGAAUUGAAUGAAUUAGGUUAGAGGAUGGAUUUUUGUA